rnacentral:tRNA from 1 species
GAAAUAACUAGUAUGAAGAAGAAGCUUCUAACUUCACCCUUAAGCGGUUAAACUCCGUUUUUAUUUCU